GCCUAACUUUGAUAACCCUUUAUCUUACUCUGCUCUUCCACUGCCUCCUUUUCUCUCACAGAGAAAACCUUGAUUGAGAGAACAACUUGUAAGGUCUGUGCGAUCUUAGAUUUGGGGGAGUAUUUCAUAAUUUUAGGGACCCAAUCACUCAAAGGAUGAAUGUUGAACGAAAUUAUUAUUUAGUGGAUUCUGGUUAUCCUUGCACCUUGGGGUUUCUACCUUCGUACCGUACUGAGAGAUACCAUCUAUGAGACUUUCGAGGUGAGGAUCAUCUUGAAGGUGCUAAAGAGCUUCUCAAUUAUAGACAUUCAUCUCUUUGUAAUGUAAUUGAAAGAUGUUUUGGCGUUUUAAAGGCAAGAUUUCCAAUUUUAAAAAUGAUGCCCCGUUACAAACCAUGUCGACAAGGGAAUGUGAUGAGAGCUUGUUGCACAAUUCAUAACUUCAUUCGAAUGGCAACAAGAAAUGAUCGCUUGUUUACUCAAUUCAAUAUUGAUAACCUUACUGUUGAAGGUGAAGGUGGGGAUACUUUGGGUGAGCCAUCGCAUACUAUUGACUUAACUGAUCAAGUCGCUGAAGCUAUGGCAACUUAUAGGGAUCAUAUCGCAAGAUUGAUGUUGGCAAAAAAUAAGCAUCAUUGAUGCCAUGUUAUUUUAUUUUUAUUUUUUAGAUGAAAUUGAUUCCCUGGCAUUGAUGCCUCAAUGCCAUGUAGUAAACUUUUUAGUUAUUGAUUAUCUUUUAUAAUACUUGAUAAUUGUUAUA